rnacentral:rRNA from 1 species
UACGUAGGGCGCAAGCGUUGUCCGGAAUUAUUGGGCGUAAAGAGCUCGUAGGCGGCCUGUUACGUCUGCUGUGAAAUCCCGGGGCUUAACCCCGGGCGUGCAGUGGAUACGGGCAGGCUGGAGGCAGGCAGGGGAGAACGGAAUUCCCGGUGUAGCGGUGAAAUGCGCAGAUAUCAGGAGGAACACCAAUGGCGAAGGCAGCGCGCUGGGACGGUACUGACACUGAGACGCGAAAGCGUGGGGAGCAAACAGG